ensembl:snRNA U6 U6 spliceosomal RNA
UUGCUUGCUUUGAAAACACAAAUACUAAAAUUGGAAUGAUACAGUGACAAUUAGCAUGUCCUUGUUCCUGGAUAACACACAAAUUUGUAAAGUGUCCCCUUAGUUA